rnacentral:rRNA from 1 species
UACGGGGGGGGGCAAGCGUUGUUCGGAAUUACUGGGCGUAAAGGGCUCGUAGGCGGCCAACUAAGUCAGACGUGAAAUCCCUCGGCUUAACCGGGGAACUGCAUCUGAUACUGGAUGGCUUGAGAUUGGGAGAGGGAUGCGGAAUUCCAGGUGUAGCGGUGAAAUGCGUAGAUAUCUGGAGGAACACCGGUGGCGAAGGCGGCAUCCUGGACCAACACUGACGCUGAGGAGCGAAAGCCAGGGGGAGCAAACGGG